CCGUCGACUUUAAAAAUCGUGAG
rnacentral:tRNA from 2 species